GAGACAUGAAAUCAUUGGCAUUUGAAAUAUAUAAUAUUUUUAAACUGCGGCGUUGAUGUCCUUGCAAACAAGUAGUAAAACCGCCCUAAAUCUUUGGUAUCUUCAUUUUUAUACUAGCAAAGUAUCGAUGAACUACAGCCUGGAGUUAAUCUGAAAAAACGAAACGAAUCUGCGUCGAUCUUCUUGUGAUGAUGCACUUGAUUUACAAGGCGUGACGAAUAUUUAUGGACUGAAGAGUAUAAAUAGCAGUAAUAUAUGACAUAUUGUGUAUAGAUCGUAAAGUACAUAUCAGUAGAAAAGCCCUGGGUGUAAGACUUGAUCAAGUAGAUAAGUCUAGUGUGGAUAUAAGGGAUAAGUAGAUUACUACCAGGCAUCAUCAAACCAAGAUCUC